rnacentral:rRNA from 1 species
UGAGGGAAAGUUGCAAAGAACUUUGAAGAGAGAGUUCAAGAGUACGUGAAACUGCUCAGAGGCAAACAGGUGGGCCCUCGAAAUCCUUUCGCGGGGGGAUUCAGUCGAGCGGCGGAGGUGCGCGACUCCGGCGGUGACGCGUCGCCUUCGGGCGGCGUGCCCCCGGGGACCCGUCGUGCCGACGUCGAGCGACGCAUUUCUUCCCGCGCUGUGGACGCCGCAGCCGGUUGGGCAGGAGCGAGAGUCUGCCGUGGGGUCGCGCCGGUAGGUGGCGGGGGAGCGAGCCAGCCUCGUCUCUCCCGAUUCUGGCCGGCGACUGGGACCGUGGCGGGACGCCCGACCGAGGAAGUACAGUCUGCCUCGGUGGACUUAGCCGCGCACUCGCUACUGGAACCGAGCGGACGGCGGAGUCAGGAGCGUCCCUGCGAGAGCGGGUCCACGGUCUGUCGUGGUCGCUCCGCAGGGUGCCCCGUCGAUGUGGACUCCUGCCGGAUACCGCCGAUUGCGUGUGACGACGGCUUGCGGCGAGUAGGUCGGUCACCCACCUGACCCGUCUUGAAACACGGACCAAGGAGUCUGACAUGUGCGCGAGUCACUGGGACUCGAAUAAGCCCAAAGGCGCAAUGAAAGUGAGAACUGAAAUGAGUUGGAAUGAGUUGGGACCGCAGGCUCUUGAACGAGAUGCGAGCACCAACGGCCCGUCCGAUCCCCCUCGCGGGGUAGGCCGGAGCCAGAGCGCACACGUCGGUGCCCGAAAGAUGGUGAUCUAUGCCCGGGCAGGACGAAGCCAGGAGGGAAACUCUGGUGGAGGUCCGCAGCGG